CCAGCAGGCAAAUGCAGCUGUGACGAGGAGGUGGAGAACUUCGCUGGAGCCAUCUCCGACUAUGAGGUGCGCAGCUCGUUCUGCUCGAUUAAGUCGCGAGAAAUCGCGAAAAAACGAAGGGGGUGCUGCUACUCUGAGCUGCGCUUCCACGCUUCCACCACGAAGUCUCGCUGGACGAUUCUAUCUUAAUUGUGCGCCAAGUGAGUGAAGAGCUCUCCUCUCAUGUUCUUCCCCUUCUCUUCACAGGGUGCUUGUUUCAAUUGCAGCUUAUAGUAGGGCCUUAAAAGCUUAAGUGCCUUGGACAGACUUUCUAGAACGACGACUUACUGGAAGGCCCACCGGUUUUAACUAGAUAUUUUUUGACUUGUACAGCAUGUGAGACGUGGUAAAUUAUCCUCGAGAGCGAGCAAAACUGGGCUAUCUGCGGGGUAAGUUUACCGAAAAGCUACGUAGCGCCUAACAGGGAUAUCCCUGGUGACGAGUACAAAAGGAAGCUUCCUAGAGUGCUUCCCUGGA